AACUUACAAAACUAAAAUAUCAUAAUGUUGAUCAUGCAUGGUACUGAAUUGACCUCCAAAUUCAAAGAGGAAAAACGUGUAGUAUUUUUCUCAUGGUGGUUAUCUUUCAGAUUAACAAACUUGAUCCAGGGGAAAAGAGUGGAUUUUACACUAUUUAAGAUAAUUGAUGAACCUCAAUAGGAAACUAAUAAACUGACAAUAAUAGAAAACCAAUCCUCAGGCAAUUAUGAUGACUGGUGAUGCUAAAGAAAAAAAUGCUUGCCCCUUUAUCAGUAAGAGAGUUCAGAAGGGCAAAGAGAUGGUUGUCUUGUCUGCCAUCAUGAGGAGUAUUUUCAUCUUUUCAAGUCCAAAGGAGGAAUUAAAUGGCAAGAAAAACAAAUAAGGUAACCACUCAUACCUUUAGGCCAUUAAAAUUGUGGCUGUGUGUUGAAAUUAAAAUGGAGAUUGCUUGAAAGUAGCAGCUGUGAAAAGGAUAUCCUGUUAUAACUUAAAAUAUAAUAAGCAUUGUACAGAUUAAUCCACUUGAUAGUCAACAGAUUUAACAGAGAACUCAAGGUAACCAAUGGUGCUCCAGGGAAAUUCACUCUGCCAUAGGGGCAGUAAAACUAGACAGUUCAAAAUGAAAAAUAUUUUUGGGUUGUCUGGAAAAGAUGGCCAUAGGUGAACACCAUUGUCAUCUUGUUUGAUAUGAAAUAAAUGAACAUUAUGCAAGUUGAGGAAAUUGUUCCAGGGAACUGAGGAGUUUCUACAAAAGGCAACCAAUGAUACUCCAAGGGAAUGCACUCCACCAUAGUGCCAGUAAAAGAUGCAGUUUGACAUGGAGAAAAGAAUACUUUUGGGUUGUUUAGAAAAGGGGACAAUGAGAGAACAGGAUUAUCCUCUUAUUGAAUUUGAAAUUUAAUGAACAAUAUACAAAAGAAAUUUUAUCCACUGAAGAGAUUCUACAAAGAAAGGGAGGCUUGAUGUGCAAACUAUAAGUAGGAAACAAGCAUUAGUAGUGAAUGUAAAACCAAUGGUGCUGGAAACGAAAUCAUCUUUACCCAUGUCAGUAAAACUCCAUGCAGUUCAAAAGAAAACAAAAAAACUUUGUCUUGUCUUAAAGAUAACAAUCCUGAUCACACCCUUGGCUAUCUUGUUGAACUUGAAUUAUAAGGAACAUUGCACAAGUUGAAAGAAUUGAUCCCGUGGAAAGUUCUACAAAGAACUCAGGAUAAACAGUGAUACAACAAGGAAGCACACUCAACCAUAGGGCCAGUAAAAACCAGUGCAAAUGUUAUUUGCUUGUCUGGAAGGUAGCCAUAAGUGAAACGGAUUGUCAGAAUUUAAGAAUGUUGCCCAGGUUAGUAUUUGAUGCAGUGGAACAGGAAGCUUCUACAAAGAACCCAUGAUAACCAAUGAUACAACCAAGGAAAUCCACUCCACUGUAGUGCAAGUAAACAUAAGUGGAGUUCAAAUUAGAGCAAAUACAAUUUGCUUGUCUGGAAGGUAGCCAUGAGUGAACAGGAUUGUCAAAAUUUAGAAUGUUGCCCAGGUUCGGAUUUGAUGCAGUGGAAAGGGAGGCUUCUACAAAGAACCCAUGAUAACCAAUGAUACAACCAAGGAGUUCAAAUUAGAGCAAAUGCAAUUUGCUUGUCUGGAAGGUAGGUUAGUAUUUGAUGCAGUGGAAUAGGAAGCUUCUUCAAAGAACCCAGGAUAACCAAUGAUACAACCAAGGAAAUCCACUCCACUGUAGUGCAAGUAAACAUAAGUGGAGUUCAAAUUAGAGCAAAUAAAAUUUGCUUGUCUGGAAGGUAGCCAUGAGUGAACAGGAUUGUCAAAAUUUAGAAUGUUGCACAGGUUGAAAGAAUUGAUCCAGUUGAAAGUUCUACAAAGAACCCAGGAUAAACAGUGAUACAACCAAGGAAGCACACUCAACUAUAGUGCCAGUAAAAACCAGUGCAAAUGUUAUUUGCUUGUCUGGAACGUAGCCAUAAGUGAAACGGAUUGUCAGAAUUUAAGAAUGUUGCCCAGGUUCGGAUUUGAUGCAGUGGAAAGGGAGGCUUCUACAAAGAACCCAUGAUAACCAAUGAUACAACCAAGGACAUCCACUCCACUUAUUAGAGCAAAUACAAUUUUCUUGUCGGGAAGGUAGCCAGGAGUGAACAGGAUUGUCAGAAUUUGAAUGUUGCACAGGUUGAAAGAAUUGAUCCCGUGGAAAGUUCUAGAAAGAACUCAGGGUAAACAGUGAUACAACCAAGGAAAUCCACUCCACUGUAGUGCAAGUAAAAAUAAGUGGAGUUUAAAUUAGAGCAAAUACAAUUUGCUUGUCUGGAAGGUAGCCAUGAGUGAACAGGACUGUCAGAAUUUGAGAAUGAUGCACAGAUCAAUUAUCUAGAUCCAGUGAGCAGAAGAGAUUCUAAAGAUACCUUAGUCUUGAAGUAGAUAAUCAAUCUACAGGUAAACUGAUAUUUCAAGAAAAUCAUCUUCACCUGCUGUUCAAAAUGGAGGAAACCUUACUUUUGCGAGUAAAAUGUUUAGUGAAAGUAAAUUCAGCCAAAGGAAGUAAUUUUAUUAUGAAAUUGCUGCGGAUUGGAAUGUCUAUAAUGUAAAAGUUGUGGACAUUGGAAUAAAAGAGAGGGAGGUUGGACCAGUGAGGAGAAAUGAGUGUUGCUUUCUAGGUCAAAAGAGGAAGUUCAGUUGCAUUAAAAAAAAAAAAAAAAAAAAAAAAAAAAAAAAAAAAAAAAAAUAUAUAUAUAUAUAGGUAAGUCUCAGAUGUCACUUUAUGGCUUAAAGGUUUUUUAAACUGAUUGAUAGCUGCAUGACAAAACAGUUAACAAUCCUGAUGUUGGAGAUGAUACAUAUUAAAAUAGAUAGAUUUGUUUCUAAGUAAUGCCUGUGUAAUGCUAGUUUAUAUUUAGCACAUUAUAACAGAUUUUGAACUAGACAAAUUUUCAGCAUACAUGUGCAUUUUUUUGUACACGUGCACACUCGCCCAUUUACCCAGAAAAUAGCUAAUCUUUAAUGUGACGUUAAUAGGAUGAAAAAUAUCUUCUUUCCCCAUCCGAAAAGUAAUGAAGGACAAUGAAGAAUCUGAAAAUUACUUAUGAUAAUAUCUUGUCUUCUGUACAUACCACAAGACUUAAUGGAAUUUCUUUUCAGGUAAUCACUGAUACUUCUAAGGAGAUUGUCUUCAUAUCCUUGGGCCAGUAAAACUACUUGUGCAACCCAAAUGGGUCAACUUGCAGGUGGUUAUUGUGAGCAGGAAUAUAUCCUUGAAAUUGAAUGAUCAUUGUAGAAGAGAUUUAUCCAGUAGAAUUAAAGGAAUACAGAUCGGGGCCACAUUUUACCUUUAAAUAUAUUACCUGAUGAUAUUGGUGAUAUGGGAAGAAGAACAAGGAAUAUUUUUGGUUUCUGUUUUUAAAAGGUCCAAAAAAGGAGUUAACUGCAGGUGAAUCCAGUUAAGGUAAAUGACUGUGAAUAUAGAAAUUAUUAAAACUCUUGAGCAGUAAUUCGUGAUGAUCCCUUGAAUAAGUAACAAUUACAUGAAGGCCUUAAUAUUAAAUGUUGAACAUUUGAGGUACUUUAGAGGAACGAAGAAAAAAUUAUAUAAACUACUGUACUUAACUACUUAUUCAGCCAGGAUUUGGUAAACAAGACUUGUAUUAAAAAAUAAAAGUUUCCCCAUUGACUAACUUUU